rnacentral:rRNA from 1 species
UACGUAGGGGGCAAGCGUUGUCCGGAAUCAUUGGGCGUAAAGCGCGUGUAGGCGGUUCGGUAAGUCUGCUGUGAAAGUCCAGGGCUCAACCCUGGGAUGCCGGUGGAUACUGUCGGACUAGAGUACGGAAGAGGCGAGUGGAAUUCCCGGUGUAGCGGUGAAAUGCGCAGAUAUCGGGAGGAACACCAAUUGCGAAGGCAGCUCGCUGGGACGUCACUGACGCUGAGACGCGAAAGCUAGGGAGCAAACGGG